GUUACCCCCAUCAGCCAGGAGCUCAUCUUCUCACAGACUGGACUACUUAGGAGGGAGCGCACGGUUAAUGUAGAAAUUAAUCUGGGGUCGUGAUGAAGCAGAAGGGAGCUGCUGCACGUUUGAAUGCAUCUUCUCUCCUUGUUUCUUUGCAUAAAUAUCAUCCUGGCAAUAUCUCAGUUGUGGUUCACACACUGUGGCAUGGACAACUGCCAGCAUCACCAGCACCAUCUUUGCAGAUGGGGAAAAACAGACAAAAUCAUACUGGAGUUACACAGUGCCACUCAGCAAGGCCAUGGGAGGUGGAGAAGUAGAAAGACAUCUUUGCUUUGCUAUGACCAGGUGGAAGAGAGCUGAAGUAAAUUCAUUCUGAGCAGAAUAAAAUCAGAAUGGUUGGA